rnacentral:rRNA from 1 species
GUGGGGAAUAUUGGGCAAUGGAGGAAACUCUGACCCAGCAACGCCGCGUGAAUGAUGAAGGUCUUCGGAUUGUAAAGUUCUGUGACGGGGGACGAAGAAAGUGACGGUACCCCGAUAGCAAGCUACGGCUAACUACGUGCCAGCAGCCGCGGUAAUACGUAGGUAGCAAGCGUUGUCCGGAAUGACUGGGCGUAAAGGGUGCGUAGGCGGCUUGACAAGUUGGUAGUGAAAUUCCGAGGCUUAACUUCGGCGCUACUACCAAGACUGCCGAGCUUGAGUACGGGAGAGGUAAGUGGAAUUCCUAGUGUAGCGGUGGAAUGCGUAGAUAUUAGGAGGAACACCGGUGGCGAAAGCGACUUACUGGCCCGCAACUGACGCUGAGGCACGAAAGCGUGGGGAGCAAACAGGAUUAGAAACCCUAGUAGUCC